rnacentral:lncRNA from 1 species
GCAAAGAGUCGAUCGACAAAACCAGACGUGAUUGUGGCAAGUCUUAUAUACAUAAGACAUAACCUACACAAAACUUACAUAAUCCCUCGUGUCGAAGUUUUCUUGCAAGCCAUAAAUUCAGAGGAAUCUGUGUUGAUCUGUGCUAGUGCCUAGUGAAAACAAUAAUCAACCAAGGUAUGUCUGCCGUGAGCUAGGAAAGUGACCAGUAUAAUUUAUGCGAAUUAAGUUUAUAGGACAGAGGUCAGGAGCCCUAUCUUUCUUAGCAGCCUAAGUGCGCAUAAGUGCAUAUACGGGGUGCUCCACGAGAGGCGUAUCACCGAAGUGAUCCCCCAAUCUACAAGGGGUAGAAUUCGAUUCCCCCCUCUUCUGCUCCGAAACGCCGAGCCCCGAAAACCUUUGACUUGGGUCAACAUUAGUAAGGCGUAGCAACCCUUAGGAAGCUCAGCGCGUAAGGCGGCUCCUCGGAACCUUUCACCAGCUCCACUGAGAAGACCAGUUUGUCGAGCACUUUAGUGCUUAUGUAAGCGGCAGAUCGACAUCAAGCCGGAUGUUCCACAUUUUAGCCCAGUGUCCAGAGCUAAAACAUUGGGCGUGAUUUUGACGGACCUGACUACAGAGGAGCCACCGCCAACAGCAGGACAGAUGUCCGGAGUUAUGCUGUGUUAAUUUGCACAUUUUCUGGGACUAAGUUCAAUAUGCCAUUUUAAGGCCAAUUCCCUGGCAGUUACGUAUAUGUAUAUUCAAGCAUCGGGAAUCAUGAGUGUUUGUAGAAAAGAGUGGGUAAGAAAUAAUUAAUUGAAAUUAUCAAAUCGUACUUGCAGGUACACUCGUGUGCAUAUAUUGUUAAAACCUUCUAUUUUUCCCUAGAUACCAGCACCUACGUCAUCCUUGAGCUCAACGAUUACGAAAGGAGUAAGGGUAUUAAAAUACCAAAACCAAAAGAAAACAGUGAGUUUGUAAACUUAAAAACAUUUAUGCACAGAGUAUAAACGUAACCUGCGUGCUACUAAACAUUUAAUCAUAACCGUAAUGGGUUGAUACCUCUCGCCCCCCUUAAUUAUAUUAACCACAUCUGAUUAUUAGUCCGUAUACUUACUGCCCCCACUAUAUUCAUAUAUACAUUCUUGAAUUCUUAAAUUCUUAUAAGCUAAAAUGAGUAUACAUUUUAAGUGCUAGAUCGCCGUAAUAUGAAUUCCUCUGUAGGUUAAGAAAAUUUCGAAGAUAUUGAAUUAUAAUAAUAGGAAGUCAUGGAAAUAUAUAGAUAGAAGCCUUUGUUUUGAAACGCAGGUUUAAUAUGUUCUAAAUCCUAACGUCCGUUCUCAGACAAGCAAGGUCGACGUGGUAGGAUGAAAACUGCCUGAUUGUUCUAGGGUGUAUACGGUACGAUUUACCAGUAUAGCAUAGGUUGGGAGGGUAGAGAAGAGGGAUUCUCGACGACACCGGAGUUUUCCGUGACUUGAAUAGAGUAGUUGAUAUCAUCAUCCCCCUUUUUCUCAACAACAAAUAAUUAAUCCACUUUCCAUAAAUUCAGUCCUGUUUAACCUGUGUUCUGCUUUUGAUUUUUGAUUCUUUUUUAAAUGUGCACCUAAAACAUUAUGCGAGUGUGUGUCAGUACACAAUACAGGAGAAAGUAGAACGAACCCCGACAAUCCGGCGAGCUUAGCUAGAGCAUAGCUAGAGGUGCACACGAAAUCUCUUUGUACUAGUUUGGGUAAAAAUACAUUUAUCCCACACCUGCACGCUUCAGACCUCCUUAUAAUUUAUUAAUGGAUUCAGCCAUCUCUCGUGACCGGCUGCAAGAACUCUCUUUGGAAUUCAAACUCGAAUUCAGUGCACUCUCUCGAUCGUUCUCUCGCGCAUAUAAAAAGUGCCGCAAAAGUGAACACACAAACGUUUGAACUUUUACAUCUCGUUGAACAAUCGUAUUUAACUGUGAUCGACUAAUACACUCCGCGUCAACAAUCUAGAGCCAAAACAUUGGAAAUAGAAAAAGUGGAUCGUUUGCUAUGGGGAAAUGAGAAUUAUGAAACACAUAGCGAGUCGGUGGCAUUUGGCUCUGCUCCAUUUGGUGGAAGCUUCAGUGCCAACGCACUAUCUACUUUGGAUAGGCUAGAAUCAAUACGCAUGGAUAUUGAGAAGCUGUGCCAAAUGGAUGAGUAAAUCUUGCGCGGACUGCUGGAAUCACUGACGGAGCUGAAAUCGAAUUUUGUUGCGCCACACACCAGCUUAGAGGAGGCGGAUUUUGAGUCCAUGUCGAGUGAAAUACCUUCACGGUUUGACGCUUCCAUAUUAUCAUUGCGGACUAUUCUGCAGCGCGAGCUUGGAAGUCGGUCCAGCUCUAGGAAUUGUUCCACAAUCAACCCGAACUCAAGUGCAUCCCCAAGUGCAUCGGUUACCUCAGCUGGAUCUGCCAAAAUUAAGUGGAAUUUACACGAAGUGCGCCAAUUUCUUCUCAAUGUUCACCGCGAUAAUUGACAAGGAGUCCGAGCUGACCCCUAUCGAAAAGCUGCAGCAUCUACGUUCCUGUUUGAGUGGCGCAGCCCUCAAUACCAUCAGCUGAUUGGAAAUAAAUGAGGCUAAUUAUAUCGUGGCAUUAGAUAUUUUAAAGCGUCGCUUUGAUAAUAAACGUUUUAUUUGCAGGUACACAUCAGAGGGAUAUUUGGGUUGGAGAAGGCUGACGAGUCGGUGGGCAAGCUGAGGGAACUGACUGACAGAGUCACCUCACAUAUUCGUGCAAUGGAAUCGCUGGCUAGUAAGGCAGAAGUAGCAGACUGUAUUCUUGUACAAACAGUACUUCAGAAGCUGGACAAGGCCACUCAGAGCACAAGGCCAAUCAAAGAAAAUCUUUCGUCGCAUCGAGCGCCCCCCUUUCUUGUGUGUUGUGCGAGGGCACGAACCAUAUGAUUGCCAAUUGUCCACGGUUUGCACCUCUGUCUUCAAAUAAUCGUCAGGUGGAAGAAAAGAGGCUCUUAUUAUUCCUCAAUUGCCUACGAAAGGGCCAUCAUGUGAACUAUUGUAAAUCCGGUCCCUGCCGCACUUGCCGAUCGAAUCACCACACGUUUUGCAUUUAAUUCGUCCAACAGAGACAUAUCUAUCUGCUUCUACGAGUAAAGCCUCGCAACAACAACCAAGUCAUACCGCCAUGGUUGUCAUGUCGUCCUCAUUGCCUUAAGCCCUAAUAUCCCAUAGUCCUCCUGAUUCUGUGCUGUUAGCCACCGUCGUCGUUCUCGCACUUUUGGACUGGGGAUCGCAAUUACAUUUCAUAACUAGUCGUCUAUCUAAUCAGCUGAAACUUCUUAAAACCAAAUCGUUUACCGCGGUCUCUGGCAUAGGAGCUAGCUUCUCAACUGAAGGUAUCUCGGUGGAUCCAGCUUGCUGACCCUUCGUUCCAUAAUCCGCAACGGAUUGACCUGCUCAUCGGAGCUGAACUGUUCUUCGAGUUGCUGUGUGUGGGACCAAUUCAGCUGGCGCCUGGACUGGAUGGACGCUAUGGAUGGAUCAUAUAUGUUGGCGGGCAAUCGUCCCUCUACCUAUUGUCGUUUAUCGCCGCACAGUCUUUGGCUGCCUUGCACUCGGGCGUGCAUUUCGCCAACAACACAUCUUCGUUUAGUACAACCCAAUCUUCGGAUGACACCAAUCACAGCACUCGGCUCGAUGAGUUGAUUCAUCAAUUUUGGGAAGUGGAGCACACCUUUGGGCCGAUCGCUAGGGCUGCAAAGGAGGAGCAGCAUUGAGAGGAGCAUUUCGUUACUAACACUCGUCUGGUGGAGGGCACUCGGCCCCCAUUCUCUCGUCGUUUAUCGUCUGAGCGUGACAACAUCUCGCUUUUGUUAAAGCACAUUAACUCAUUCGGUGUCAAGAUGCGCCUUUUUGGAAACGCUCAGAAGCUCAACAGUGGUACGAAAUCACCGCAUCUCUCGUCUAAAAACCUAUACAAAGGAUCAAAAUUGCUACGUCGAAUCGUUCAACUCGCCCACCUUCACCCUGAGUACCGUGCAGUGCGAAAGAAAUUUGCUUUGCGGAAAUUUGUUAUCUGCUGUAGAUCCAGACCAUUCUACUAUAAGCCAGAAGGGCGCAGUCGAUCGCUUAUAAAGUGCUACAUCAGCGUCUUCAUCUGUUUUGCAACAAAGGCCGUCUGGUUGGAACUCGUGAAGGACCUAACAACUGCUGCGUUCUUGGGGGCCCUCAAACGCUUCGUUGCCACUCGCGGCAUUCCCCGAUGCAUUUGUUCGGGCAAUGACACAAACUUUGUGGACGCAAGGAACGAGUUAGAGGAUCUUCGGCAGCUGUUUUUGAGCGAGAAACAUCGUGCUGAAGUUCAUAGUCACUGCAUCAACCACGGCUUCGAUUGGAGAUUUAUACCACCUCGCUCGCCCCAUUUCGGGGGCUUAUGGGAGGCAGCAGUGAAGAUGGCCAAGAAGCAUUUUUAUCGCUCCGUUGGAUCUUCACUCUUUACUUUUGAUGAGCUGCGGACCUUGGACUGCCAAAUCCAGGCUGUAAUCAACUCUCGACCUCUUAUCGCUAUUUCAGAAAAUCCUCAAGAUCUUGGCGUCCUCACACCAGGACAUUUUGUAAUUGGUCGUCCGCUGAUGGAGUUCGCCGAGCCAUACGUAACGGGUCAAUAGAUUGGAUUGCUGGCAACGAAUCACCUGUGCCCAGCGGAUCUUUCAGAAGCGUUGGAGUGAGGAGUACUUGACUCUGCUUGUACUCUUAUUAUUGUAAAGUUGCUCUCUUUUUCUCUCUCUCUCUCUCUCUCUCUCUCUCUCUCUCUGCACGCCCUUUCACUCGCACUUAUUGACAGCAUUGUAACGUUUCCCAUUAAGAAGCCGACGGGCCCUCCUUUAUAGUUGCUUCAUGCAAACGACGUAAAAAGACGACGUAGACGAAAAAAGCUAACGGACCUCGCUUAGAACUGUAUGCAGCCGGUCUCGACAGUGCGUUGCGCAGGCUGAAGCAGACGGUGAAAGAGAAAACGAAAACGACUAGCUGGCCGCUAGCACUGGCACGGUCGGCCACAACGACUUUUGGUUCGCUACUUUUCUAAGCAAAUCCUGAGUUAUAUGAUUAAAAUUCAAAUAAUUAAAUGUUUAAACAUUUUAACGCACUAUAAGUUCACAAUCACGUCGGGGUCACCAAAAUGUUGGAAGCUGCCGAGCUUUUUCGGCAAGUCUGACUCCACAUUUACGACAAUUAUUUUCCGUUUUAGUUGUUUCAAAUAUUUAUUUACUAUUCGAUGUUUUUGUACAAUUAAAAGGGGCGUGGAACUACGAUUCGGUGCGUUAAACCUUUACAAUAAUUUAGAGCUAAUCUAGGUUUGCGUUGGACAUAUGUAUAAACAAUUGGACUGCUCGGAACGAUGCGCGGCGAUCGACAAUAUUUUAGACUGGGCAAGAAAAGGUCAAAGCCUUGCAAUAUAAGCAGUACGGAGGGUGUAAGAGGGAGCGAUGAGCGGGACAAUAGCAUAUCAAUAUAAGAGAGUAUAAAUGUAAACAAGGCGAGCUGAUCUUAAUAAUUAUGUAGCUGCUGCUGCUCCGAACAGGGCGGUUUUCUCCCAUACAAUUACGAAGACAUCGCCAACUACUAGAUAUCGUUCACAUUACAGAACACGUAGAAAAACCUCUACUGAAUAAAAUGCAGUAAAAAAAUUGGAUCAGUUAAUCGUAUUUUUCAAUUUAUGAGACAGUUAAAACAGCAAUAAAACUGGUAAAUUUUCAGUGCACGUGCUUUUUAAUAAUGACCGCUGGGUUUCACAGCUGAUUUUGCGAAGGUGGAGCCAUCUAUGCAAAUUUCUGGUAAGCAACUUUGAUGGUCACUUUUUUUUCUAAAACAGAGCGCCAAAAACCACGUCUUGGUUUUAACUUUUAAAAAUUACCUUUUGGCCAAGAAAAGUAGUCAUUGGGACCGUGGGGAGCGUGGGUUGCCGCUUAAAACUCCGGAGGGGGGUGAUGUCGUCUGUCCAGGUCCCAGGUUCUCUGGCUCCGCUCACGCACUCUCGACUUGGCACUUUUAAUUCAGCGGGCACGUCCGUUCAGUUUCAACUCUCG